CUGACAGUUUGGCUUCCCUGUUCCAGGUGGCAAAGCCUGUGGGGUAUUCACCUACCUGCUGCAUGAAGGCAGCAUGGAGGGACUGUGGUGGAUUAUCUGCAAAGAUGGCCCAAAUUCUCUCAUCCCUGCAGGUACAUACAAGGUUGUUGCAUGGCAUAAGUAAAAUGACAGCUAUAGAAUAUGUGCAACUUUUCAGUGACAAAGACCUGUGAAGCAUUGACAGUACCACCUAAUGAGGUUUCACGAUAACUAAGUAUCACAACCAGUUUACAGACCAGAAAACUGAGACACAGGAAGGGUUGGUGACUUGAGCAAGGUGCAUCAGCUGAAAAGUUGCUAAAACCGCUGUGAGAUUCUGGCUAAGAAAAUUUCAUGAGAAGUUUUACAGAAAAAUGUGAACAGAAGAAAGAACUAGAUAUAAAUUUGAAUGGCCUGGAGUGCAGUGGAGCAAUCUCAGCUCACUGCAGCCUCUUCCUCCCGGAUUCAAGUGAUUCUCCUGCUUCAGACUCCCGAGUAGCUGGGAUUACAGUUUUGAGAAGAAUGCAAAGAAGAAGGGAAGAGUGAGCCUCUCUUUUCCCAUCGUUACCCUCCAUUGUCCUCUUGACACCCUGCUUUUGCAGACAGAGAGUUUGAGACCCUCUCCCAGGAGCCAAGGAGAGGGGAACAGCUGGCUUCACAUCAUCUUUCUAUUCAACAAGACACAAAAAGCUGAAGCCAGGAUGAUAGAAAAGCAACAAAGAAGACACGGUCCUUACUCAUUUCCCUUCCCGCUUC
rnacentral:lncRNA from 1 species